UUGAAGCCGGGUCACCUUUAAGGAGCUUGGAAGGAAGUGUUUGGCCUUGGUAACGGUGUCGCGAUGUGGUUCGAGAUUCUCCCCAGGAUCGCCAUCAUGGCCGCGUGCUUAUUCAUUCCGGGAAUGGCCACUGCACGCAUCCACAGGUUCACUCACGGGGGCAAGGAAAAAAGGGUUGCCCAUUAUUCAUAUCAGUGGAAUUUGAUGGAAAGAGAUAGGCGCCUCUCUGGAGUUAAUCGUUACUAUGUGUCAAAGGGUUUGGAGAACAUUGAUUAAGGAAGC